CACAUCAUAAAUUUAAACAUAAAAAAUGUGUGGAUUACUUCUUUUUAUAAAUCAUCUAUCAAAGAUUUCCGAUAUGGUGUUGAAGACUUCCGAGAAAUUGAUCCCAUGUUUGGAACAAUGAGAGAAUUUGAGAAUCUGAUUGCAGCUAUACAUGAUAGAGGCUUAAAGCUAAUAAUGGAUUUUAUACCAAAUCACACAAGUGAUCAACAUAUUUGGUUUCAACUGAGUCGGAAUCGGACAGGAAAAUAUACAGAUUAUUACAUUUGGCAUAACUGUACCCAUGCAAAUGACAUGACCACACCACCCAACAACUGGUUGAGUGUCUAUGGGAACUCUAGUUGGCAGUAUGAUGAAGAGAGAAAACAAUGUUAUUUUCACCAGUUUAUGAAAGAACAACCCGAUUUGAAUUUCUAUAAUCCUG